rnacentral:lncRNA from 12 species
GGUCUGUAACCAGCCGAUGUGACUCAGACCGAGGUGCAGUGUGGACAGAGGCAUCACUUGGAGCUGAAGUUUGGCCUUUCUGCCGAGGAUCCUGUUUCCAGACCUCGCACACCAGCUCUAGAAGCCCAGACCGAAGCAUUUAGGAAUGAGUCUGUGGAUUUGGGGGCGAUUUGCUCCAGCAGAGCAGCAGACACAAACCUGCACCACUUUUUUUUUUGCUUUGUUUUUUUUUUUUUUUUUUUUUUUUUUUUUUUUUUUUUUUUUUUUUUUUUUUUUUUUUUUUUUUUUUUUUUUUUCCCCCCCCCCCCCCUUUUUUUUUUCUUUUUUUUUUUUUUUUUUUUUUUUUGGGUGCUGCUGCUCGCCCCCGAGGAUUUGCCAGCACCACCCUCCAGCAGAGCUGAUGGCUUUUCCUGCCAGGAAAGAGACUCCUGAGGCCCUGCUGGGAGAAUGA